rnacentral:rRNA from 1 species
UACGAAGGGGGCUAGCGUUGUUCGGAAUUACUGGGCGUAAAGCGCACGUAGGCGGACUGUCAAGUCAGGGGUGAAAUCCCGGGGCUCAACCUCGGAACUGCCUCUGAUACUGUCAGUCUAGAGUCCGGAAGAGGUGGGUGGAAUUCCUAGUGUAGAGGUGAAAUUCGCAGAUAUUAGGAAGAACACCGGUGGCGAAGGCGGCCCACUGGUCCGGAACUGACGCUGAGGUGCGAAAGCGUGGGGAGCAAACAGG